rnacentral:rRNA from 1 species
CAGCAGGCGCGAAAACUUUACAAUGCCGGCAACGGCGAUAAGGGAACCUCGAGUGCCAGGUUACAAAUCUGGCUGUCGUGAUGCCUAAAAAGCAUUGCAUAGCAAGGGCCGGGCAAGACCGGUGCCAGCCGCCGCGGUAACACCGGCGGCUCGAGUGGUAACCGUUAUUAUUGGGUCUAAAGGGUCUGUAGCCGGCCGGGUAAGUCUCUUGGGAAAUCUGGCAGCUUAACUGUCAGGCUUUCAGGAGAUACUGCCUGGCUCGAGGCCGGGAGAGGUGAGAGGUACUUCAGGGGUAGGGGUGAAAUCUUGUAAUCCUUGAAGGACCACCAGUGGCGAAGGCGUCUCACCAGAACGGACCUGACGGCAAGGGACGAAAGCUAGGGGCACGAACCGGAUUAGAUACCCGGGUAGUCCUAGCCGUAAACGAUACUCGCUAGGUGUCGGCCACGGUGCGACCGUGGUCGGUGCCGUAGGGAAGCCGUGAAGCGAGCCACCUGGGAAGUACGGCCGCAAGGCUGAAACUUAAAGGAAUUGGCGGGGGAGCAC